rnacentral:lncRNA from 1 species
AGGAACAUAAAAUACGAUUGUUGCAACAGUUUAAGAAAGACCGGAGCAGCUUCGGCGGUACGGCAACCUGCGCCUCUGCCACUCAUCUACAUAUAUGCUUCGGUUUGGUCUGAAUGCAACCCCGCACUUUACGUUCCAAUUUUUUUUUUCAAAAAAAAAUUAAAAUAAAACCCUGGUCCCCACUCCCAAGGAUUGCCACGUGACAGUUCAGAAACCGCCAGAUCAAAAUCAAUCAACGCCUUCCAUCGGCCAAGCCUACGACCCAGGAAGGUCCACGCAUGUUUUCGAUAGAAGUUCC